rnacentral:rRNA from 1 species
ACUCCUACGGGAGGCAGCAGUGGGGAAUAUUGCACAAUGGGCGCAAGCCUGAUGCAGCCAUGCCGCGUGUAUGAAGAAGGCCUUCGGGUUGUAAAGUACUUUCAGCAGUGAGGAAGGUGGAUAUGUUAAUAGCAUAUUCUAUUUGACGUUUAGCUGCAGAAGAAGCACCGGCUAACUCCGUGCCAGCAGCCGCGGUAAUACGGAGGGUGCGAGCGUUAAUCGGAAUUACUGGGCGUAAAGCGCAUGCAGGUGGUUUGUUAAGUCAGAUGUGAAAGCCCGGGGCUCAACCUCGGAAUUGCAUUUGAAACUGGCAAACUAGAGUACUGUAGAGGGGUAGAAUUUCAGGUGUAGCGGUGAAAUGCGUAGAGAUCUAGAAGGAAUACCGGUGGCGAACGGCGGCCCCCGUGGACAGAUACUGACACUCAGAUGCGAAAGCGUGGGAGCAAACGAGGAUUAGAUACCCCGU